CGUAGGGUGCGAGCGUUAAUCGGAAUUACUGGGCGUAAAGCGUGCGCAGGCGGUUUUGUAAGCCAGAUGUGAAAUCCCCGGGCUUAACCUGGGAAUGGCAUUUGGGACUGCAAGGCUGGAGUGCGGCAGAGGAGACUGGAAUUCCUGGUGUAGCAGUGAAAUGCGUAGAUAUCAGGAGGAACACCGAUGGCGAAGGCAGGUCUCUGGGCUGACACUGACGCUCAUGCACGAAAGCGUGGGGAGCAAACAGGAUUAGAUACCCUGGUAGUCCACGCCCUAAACGAUGUCGACUGGUUGUUGGGGGUUUGACACCCUCAGUAACGAAGCUGACGCGUGAAGUCGACCGCCUGGGGAGUACGGCCGCAAGGUU
rnacentral:rRNA from 1 species